rnacentral:rRNA from 1 species
GACGAACGCUGGCGGCGUGCUUAACACAUGCAAGUCGAACGGAAAGGCCUCUUUCGGGGGGUACUCGAGUGGCGAACGGGUGAGUAACACGUGAGUAACCUGCCCUUGACUUUGGGAUAACUUCAGGAAACUGGGGCUAAUACCGGAUAGGAGCUCCUGCUGCAUGGUGGGGGUUGGAAAGUUUCGGCGGUUGGGGAUGGACUCGCGGCUUAUCAGCUUGUUGGUGGGGUAGUGGCUUACCAAGGCUUUGACGGGUAGCCGGCCUGAGAGGGUGACCGGCCACAUUGGGACUGAGAUACGGCCCAGACUCCUACGAGAGGCAGCAGUGGGGAAUAUUGCACAAUGGGUGGAAGCCUGACGCAGCAACGCCGUGUGCGGGAUGACGGCCUUCGGGUUGGAAACCGCUUUCGCUCAUGACGAAGCUUUGUGUGACGGUAGUGGGUAAAGAAGCACCGGCUAACUACGUG